rnacentral:rRNA from 1 species
CAGUCGCCGCGGGAAUACGAAGGGUGCAAGCGUUAAUCGGAAUUACUGGGCGUAAAGCGUGCGUAGGCGGUGAGUUAAGUCUGCUGUGAAAUCCCCGGGCUCAACCUGGGAAUGGCAAUGGAUACUGGCAAGCUAGAGUGUGUCAGAGGAUGGUGGAAUUCCCGGUGUAGCGGUGAAAUGCGUAGAGAUCGGGAGGAACAUCAGUGGCGAAGGCGGCCAUCUGGGACAACACUGACGCUGAGGCACGAAAGCGUGGGGAGCAAACAGGAUUAGAUACCCCUGUAGUCCCUGUCUCUUAUAC